ensembl:lncRNA
AUGACCUGCGAGGUGAUUCAUGGAGGAGCAGCGCGACAUGAUCACCCUGUCGUCUCCUCAGAUUCCCUGCUACUCGUGCUUCCAAGAGAUCGAAUUUAUGCGACUGCACUCACUUCAUUUAUUGGCCCGCCCUGGCGUUGCCCCCGGGGGGGGGGGCUCACUUCCUGUCAGUCUACGUGGGCCAAAGAUUGUAGCUCUGACGAGCCGAACAUAAACAAAGUGAACUUCUACAAACCACUUUCUUCACAUUUCCCUCCCAAACGACGAGAUUUCCUUUCAAAGCCCCCCCCUCACCCCCCCUCUUGUUUAUGAGAUGAGCAGCGAUGGAAUCAGAGGCCUACGGGAAGCAUCUGGGCCUCGUAAUUGGAAGCAGACGUCGGUCCCUUUUCCUCCCGUGUGACGGCGCACUGAGUCACGAAGGUUCUUAGCUGGUGUUCAUCACGCUGACAUCAGACACCUUCGCUUCACACGCCGAGUCCGGAUCAGAGCAGCAGAACUCGGCCGCAAAAACACCGCGAACAAACACAAAUGCAAACGUGGUUGUUUCAAUUGGACAUAAAAAAAAAAAAGAUAAACGGACCCAAGAAAUCAUAUUUUGACUCAACAGUUAAAUAAAUGAAUUAAAUAUUGUGUUUACUUUGUGAACGGAGGCUCGGGGGAGGAGAAUGUCCCAGAGGUCAACAGGUCAAGCUGUCUUAAUGUCCAUGUGAUCACCAUCAAUCAAUGAAUGUUAUCUGCGUGCGCACGGCCAAUAAAGCCGAUGAAACAAGCGUGGCAUCACCUCACAGCCGUGUGAAGCAAAGUGAAUCCACCUGGACUCCGGAGCACGUCGAUCCUGGAGGCUCCUCAAAGCGAGUGUGUGAUGCGUAACGCCGCCUGCAGUGUGUGUUUUCGCUGAUUAACACACCGAACGCACAACAGCUGCAGCACCACCCGACCCGAGGGACGACGACAACAACAACAACAGCUGAGCGUUUAAUGUGCGAUACGCACGGCGGAUUCACGGCGGUGCGGCGAGAUAAAACACAAGCGUGCGGCCUGUGACCUUUCCCAUGGUGCUCGGCGGUAAACGGGGGAAAGCGAGCGCACUGGGAUGAGUAAUGGGACGCUCGUAGUUUGCCAGCCGGUGAGGCCGGAGAUCACGGAGCGAGGCACAUCCGUCUCCACGGAGACACUCCCCCCCCC